rnacentral:rRNA from 1 species
CAGUCGCCGCGGUAAUACGUAGGUGGCGAGCGUUGUCCGGAAUUAUUGGGCGUAAAGGGCUCGCAGGCGGUUUCUUAAGUCUGAUGUGAAAGCCCCCGGCUCAACCGGGGAGGGUCAUUGGAAACUGGGAAACUUGAGUGCAGAAGAGGAGAGUGGAAUUCCACGUGUAGCGGUGAAAUGCGUAGAGAUGUGGAGGAACACCAGUGGCGGAGGCGACUCUCUGGUCUGUAACUGACGCUGAGGAGCGAAAGCGUGGGGAGCGAACAGGAUUAGAUACCCCGGUAGUCCCUGUCUCUUAUAC